AUUUAUAUAGUUUAAUUAAAACAUUAUAUUUUCAAUAUAAAAAUAAAAUUUAAUUUUUAUAAAUA
rnacentral:tRNA from 1 species